rnacentral:rRNA from 1 species
GACGAACGCUGGCGGCGUGCUUAACACAUGCAAGUCGAACGGAAAGGCCCUGCUUUUGUGGGGUGCUCGAGUGGCGAACGGGUGAGUAACACGUGAGUAACCUGCCCUUGACUUUGGGAUAACUUCAGGAAACUGGGGCUAAUACCGGAUAGGAGCUCCUGCUGCAUGGUGGGGGUUGGAAAGUUUCGGCGGUUGGGGAUGGACUCGCGGCUUAUCAGCUUGUUGGUGGGGUAGUGGCUUACCAAGGUUUUGACGGGUAGCCGGCCUGAGAGGGUGACCGGCCACAUUGGGACUGAGAUACGGCCCAGACUGCUACGGGAGGCAGCAGUGGGGAAUAUUGCACAAUGGGCGGAAGCCUGAUGCAGCAACGCCGCGUGCGGGAUGACGGCCUUCGGGUUGUAAACCGCUUUCGCCGGUGACGAAGCGUGAGUGACGGUAAUGGGUAAAGAAGCACCGGCUAACUACGUG